UGCAUUGGAAAGCACUCCGCACUUGGAAUCAAGAUUCAGAACACCUGAAUUUGAAUUCUGUUUCUGAAUCUUGGACAAAUCACUUCUUAUCUCUGGGCCUCAGAUUCCUCUGUUAAAAAGUUUCACCAUGGAAUUCCCUUGUGGUCUCCUCACCUGUUCCAAGCAGCCAGUGCCUCUUAAGAGCAUCUCGGUGGCUGUGUCUAUCCGUGAGUUUGUGGCAGAUGUGUCUGCAAGCCUGGACUACAAGAAUGAGGAAGCAGCUCCUGUGGAAGCAUUCUUUGUGUUCCCCAUGGAUGAAGACUCUGCUGUUUAUAGCUUCCAGGCUCUGGUGGACGGGAAGAGUAUAGUGGCAGAAAUACAAGAGAAGC